CCGUGCUAGACGGGGAGGUAGCGGUGCCCUGAACCUGCAAACCGCUAUAGCAGGGUUGAAUUCCUGCGCUAAGGAAUAAUCUUGUGGGGUCUGGCUCCGAUAAGUGGUGAUGAAAACUGGGUCCUGCGCAACGAGAAUUUGUGAACCCCGUCAGGUCCGGAAGGAAGCAGCGGUAAGCAAAACCUUUCGUGUGCCGUGGGGGUGCCUGGUUAGAACUAACUACCGGAGUAUCGCCUGGAGGGUUGUAUUCGAAGGCGGGUGCACGG
rnacentral:SRP_RNA from 1 species